rnacentral:rRNA from 1 species
AGGGCGCACGGUGGAUGCCUUGGCACUAGAAGCCGAUGAAGGACGUUACUAACGACGAUAUGCUUUGGGGAGCUGUAAGUAAGCUUUGAUCCAGAGAUUUCCGAAUGGGGAAACCCAGCAUGAGUUAUGUCAUGUUAUCGAUAUGUGAAUACAUAGCAUAUCAGAAGGCACACCCGGAGAACUGAAACAUCUUAGUACCCGGAGGAAGAGAAAGAAAAUUCGAUUCCCUUAGUAGCGGCGAGCGAAACGGGAAGAGCCCAAACCAACAAGCUUGCUUGUUGGGGUUGUAGGACACUCUAUACGGAGUUACAAAGGACGACAUUAGACGAAUCAUCUGGAAAGAUGAAUCAAAGAAGGUAAUAAUCCUGUAGUCGAAAAUGUUGUCUCUCUUGAGUGGAUCCUGAGUACGACGGAGCACGUGAAAUUCCGUCGGAAUCUGGGAGGACCAUCUCCUAAGGCUAAAUACUCUCUAGUGACCGAUAGUGAACCAGUACCGUGAGGGAAAGGUGAAAAGCACCCCGGAAGGGGAGUGAAAUAGAACCUGAAACCGUGUGCUUACAAGUAGUCAGAGCCCGUUAAUGGGUGAUGGCGUGCCUUUUGUAGAAUGAACCGGCGAGUUACGAUUUGAUGCAAGGUUAAGCAGUAAAUGUGGAGCCGUAGCGAAAGCGAGUCUGAAUAGGGCGUUUAGUAUUUGGUCGUAGACCCGAAACCAGGUGAUCUACCCUUGGUCAGGUUGAAGUUCAGGUAACACUGAAUGGAGGACCGAACCGACUUACGUUGAAAAGUGAGCGGAUGAACUGAGGGUAGCGGAGAAAUUCCAAUCGAACCUGGAGAUAGCUGGUUCUCUCCGAAAUAGCUUUAGGGCUAGCCUCAAGUGAUGAUUAUUGGAGGUAGAGCACUGUUUGGACGAGGGGCCCCUCUCGGGUUACCGAAUUCAGACAAACUCCGAAUGCCAAUUAAUUUAACUUGGGAGUCAGAACAUGGGUGAUAAGGUCCGUGUUCGAAAGGGAAACAGCCCAGACCACCAGCUAAGGUCCCAAAAUAUAUGUUAAGUGGAAAAGGAUGUGGCGUUGCCCAGACAACUAGGAUGUUGGCUUAGAAGCAGCCAUCAUUUAAAGAGUGCGUAAUAGCUCACUAGUCGAGUGACACUGCGCCGAAAAUGUACCGGGGCUAAACAUAUUACCGAAGCUGUGGAUUGUCCUUUGGACAAUGGUAGGAGAGCGUUCUAAGGGCGUUGAAGCAUGAUCGCAAGGACAUGUGGAGCGCUUAGAAGUGAGAAUGCCGGUGUGAGUAGCGAAAGACGGGUGAGAAUCCCGUCCACCGAUUGACUAAGGUUUCCAGAGGAAGGCUCGUCCGCUCUGGGUUAGUCGGGUCCUAAGCUGAGGCCGACAGGCGUAGGCGAUGGAUAACAGGUUGAUAUUCCUGUACCACCUAUAAUCGUUUUAAUCGAUGGGGGGACGCAGUAGGAUAGGCGAAGCGUGCGAUUGGAUUGCACGUCUAAGCAGUAAGGCUGAGUAUUAGGCAAAUCCGGUACUCGUUAAGGCUGAGCUGUGAUGGGGAGAAGACAUUGUGUCUUCGAGUCGUUGAUUUCACACUGCCGAGAAAAGCCUCUAGAUAGAAAAUAGGUGCCCGUACCGCAAACCGACACAGGUAGUCAAGAUGAGAAUUCUAAGGUGAGCGAGCGAACUCUCGUUAAGGAACUCGGCAAAAUGACCCCGUAACUUCGGGAGAAGGGGUGCUCUUUAGGGUUAACGCCCAGAAGAGCCGCAGUGAAUAGGCCCAAGCGACUGUUUAUCAAAAACACAGGUCUCUGCUAAACCGUAAGGUGAUGUAUAGGGGCUGACGCCUGCCCGGUGCUGGAAGGUUAAGAGGAGUGGUUAGCUUCUGCGAAGCUACGAAUCGAAGCCCCAGUAAACGGCGGCCGUAACUAUAACGGUCCUAAGGUAGCGAAAUUCCUUGUCGGGUAAGUUCCGACCCGCACGAAAGGCGUAACGAUUUGGGCACUGUCUCAACGAGAGACUCGGUGAAAUCAUAGUACCUGUGA